AGCGGAGCCCUCCCUGCUCCCGGGCGGCUUUGGAGGAGCUCGGUGUUUGCCUCCAGCCCUUCGCUACCGGAGGAUCAGGUUCCUCCCCUCCUCCCCCUCCAGCUCCGGCCGCCGCCGCCUCCUUCUUGCAUGACACAGCAGAACCGCAGCUGCUGCAGCAAUUCCAAGCCAUCCGCCCAGGAAGCGCCGCAACCGGGACUCGGGAGGGGUGGAGGGGGCGAGGCAGGGGCCACGGCCCCGGGGGAUCCUCGGCCCCACUGUGCACCACACACUCCUUUCCCAGCCCAGGGGCACGCGAACAAAAUGAGGCUCAAGCUGACCAGGCCGAGCUGGAGGAACGCUGGGGCUUGGCAGCAGAAGGGAUGGGACCAGAGAGAAGGGUGUGGAGGAGACCCCAGUGAGGGCCAGGACAUUUCAGGUAAAGAGAGGUCAUAUCUCCGUACCUCACUUCCUGACACAAACAAGUUUUCACUGUUGUCAGCAACAAAGCCCUAAUAUAGCUGCGGAAGAGAAAAACUGCAUUGCAUUUUGCCUCCUGCAAGCAUCAUCAACAGUUACUGGAGGAAUGUAAUUCCAGAAAGCUUGAAAGCCGUGGUGAUGGUAAUUAUGUAUCAAAUGCCUGGUUCUAUUUCUGUUAUUAUUGUUUUGUCAUUUCUGCGAUCUGACUGAACUUGCAGAGGGACAAAUCCGGUUUUUCUUUUUGACUUUUGUCAAACUGAAUCAGGCCUGAUAGAAAACUCAUUGCUCUCCGAGGAAACAAAGUAGGAGCCACGAAAUGUCAUUUUAACAGAGCGUGGGUUUGGUGACUGUAGGAAAGGAUUUGAGGACGCUCCUUCUGUUCGGCUUCCUAUGUCAUGAGCACAGACUCCACGCACGCACAGACACCACGGCUCCCGGAUGCUAUGGCUCCCCGAUCUGGGCUCCUGCAGCGCCAGAAGCCCCUCCGGGAUGCUGCGAGGGGCUCCCGGUGGGUGGAGGUACGGACGCCUCUGCGGCCGCCGCCGCCAGUCCUGCUGCUGUUGUUGCUGCUGCAGUCACGUGGGAGCCCCUUUAAGUUUCCAUAGAGAGGCCUCUCUGGUGUCACAUGAUGGACAUGAUAUAAUGAAACAACAUUGUGGAGAGGAAAGCAUUAGGGGAGCCCACGGCUACAAAAACAAGUGAGUGAGAAGAGGUGGGAGGAAGAGAAACUACGCCACCUCCCCUGCAGCCGAGCGCACGCAGCAGCCUGGCGUGACAAGUGGGCGACGCCGGGGGGCAGGGAGCCGGGGUCCUCGGCCUUGGCCGGGGACCCCACCGCCCACCGCGCGGAGAACAACUUUUAGCCGGCAGCCCAGGCCAGCGCGGCACCUGUCUCCUGAGUCUCCACCGCUCCUCCCCAUCCAUCCCAAGGAAAUUCUCAAGAAUACGCUCUACAAAUCUACGUGCGCAUCGUUUUCCCCUCUCGUCGCGCCCGGGAGGAAGGAACGAGGCAAGGAGCUAAGCGUGCGUUCAGCCCUGGGGCAUUUUAUUAAUGCUUUUACGAGUUAGAAGAGUUGGGAUAAUUUACCAUCUGGAGUUUCUCUGCCUUGCUGAUCUGAGCUCAGACCUGCUAAUUUACCAGAGAUGAUUGAUAACACCCUGUAACAGCUGAGAGGAAAAUGGAAGAAGCAGAGAUACUUUUAGUGAAACAGAAUAAACCACUGAACAGGAAAAAUGAGGAAGCCGUGAGUACCAGUGGAAGGAACGAGCCAGGAAGAGGGACUGGAACCGUCUCAGAAGCCGUUCCCCUCAGCCUGGAACUUGCCCUGUCUCCUCGCAGAUGAGGUAGGAGGCUCAGCACAGGCUGGCGGGAGCAGCCCACAGCAGCAGUGAGGGUCAGUGGGCCUGUGAGUUAAGAAGAAGGUGGCACAGAGCGAGGGUCUCUGGGUCCUGUUUGACUUUUCCAUGACUGGGAUAAGUAGCCAGGGCUGGGCUAGUUGGAGAGUUACUUGAACCUCAGGUGACAGUUGUAAGGCAGCACAUGGUGAAAAAGAGUCCUAGCCUGGGAAAGUCCAAGAUCUUGGGUCUGCUUUCAGUUCACUCACCUAUCUCUGUGACAUAGCAAAGUCUCUUAACUUCUUUAAUUUUCUGAUUAGUGGUAUAGUUGCAGGAAUGAAAUAAAACUCGUCCUGAUUACUCAGAGAUUCAUUUACUGAUUACUCUUUCUGUGAUCUGAUCGAGUACAACAUCUCUCAAAAGGUAACAAUUUGAUAUUUCAGGAAAUUAGAGAAGUUAAGAGACUUUGCUGUAUUAUGCAGAGAGUUGACUGACAGCUGAGCCCAGACCCAAGAUUCAUUUAUAAAACAAAGGAGUUGAGAAGUACAUACUCUGAGGUUUAUCCUAAAUAAACUAGUCUAGGUAAGUGGCUGAGCUAGGUUUGCCAUGAAUCAAUCUGCUGAGUAUAUUUCUUGGUAACUAGUUCAUCUUUCCUUAAUUCAGUCAACAAAUAUGAUACCAAGUUUAGUAAGAUGAUGACAGAUGUCAUGUAAUACUCCAUCUGGAAGACUAUGUGCUUCUCAGCUUCCCUAACUUUUCUUAAUCUACCUUAAGCUUCCCUUCUGAAAGGUUUCUGUCUUUCCUAACAGUCUCUUCUUACCGCCAGCUACCUCUUGUGUUUAAGAAUUUAAGGAAGAUGAGCUAGGAAUCAAGAAAUACCCAGAACUGAUUCCUGUCACUGGCCCCACCCUGCCACUUGCCCAGAGCUGUGGUAUAAAUUUUUUUAAUAGGCUGAAAUAAAGAUAUGAAUAGUAUUUUGGUAUUAAGCAUUGAUAAAAGUAAAGGCCAUGAGAUAUACCUGCUCUCACCAUGUUAAUUUUCUAUUAUUGGUAUUAAUAAAUUAUUACUAACAUAUUAACAAGAAUUGCAUCAAGAAAAAAAGCAGCCACAGGCCAAAUCUUUUGAAUUUCAAAUGUUUAUAUUAAUGUAUUAUAUUCUAGAAAAGUAGAAUUGUCUUAAGUAGCUUUGUAAUAUAAAGUCAUCUAUCAGUCCAUGACACCUAUUAGAAUGUUUUAACCUUUGUCUCCCACUUUUUUGUUUCUACACUGAGUGUACUUGGUCUGGUAUUUGUGGCAUAACUUACAGAACACAUAAGAAUGAUACAGAUACUAUUUAAUGAUGAUCUAGUACAAGCUUAGAUAGCUAAGGUGAAAGCUUCUAUGGCCUUAACAUUUUCCUCUUGAAGAAUGUAUUUGCUGUAAUAAAAUACAGUGACUACUUGAAAUCUAUAAACUUAUGUGAGGUCUGGAUAAAUCUGAGCAACUUUCUUCUUUGUGCUCCAGGAACCCAUGCACUAUAUAUAUAAAUAAAGCUUAAGUAAACAUCACUGC